rnacentral:rRNA from 1 species
AUGCACGCUGGCGGCGUGCCUCAUCCAUGCCAGUCGAGCGAACAGACGAGGAGCUUGCUCCUCUGACGUUAGCGGCGGACGGGUGAGUAACACGUGGAUAACCUACCUAUAAGACUGGGAUAACUUCGGGAAACCGGAGCUAAUACCGGAUAAUAUAUUGAACCGCAUGGUUCAAUAGUGAAAGACGGUUUUGCUGUCACUUAUAGAUGGAUCCGCGCCGCAUUAGCUAGUUGGUAAGGUAACGGCUUACCAAGGCAACGAUGCGUAGCCGACCUGAGAGGGUGAUCGGCCACACUGGAACUGAGACACGGUCCAGACUCCUACGGGAGGCAGCAGUAGGGAAUCUUCCGCAAUGGGCGAAAGCUUGACGGAGCAACGCCGCGUGAGUGAUGAAGGUCUUCGGAUCGUAAAACUCUGUUAUUAGGGAAGAACAAAUGUGUAAGUAACUAUGCACGUCUUGACGGUACCUAAUCAGAAAGCCACGGCUAACUACGUG